AUUGAACGCUGGCGGCAGGCUUAACAUAUGCAAGUCGAGCGGGGUGAUGGUGCUUGCACUAUCACUUAGCGGCGGACGGGUGAGCAAUGCUUAGGAAUCUGCCUAUUAGUGGGGGACAACAUCUCGAAAGGGAUGCUAAUACCGCAUACGUCCUACGGGAGAAAGCAGGGGAUCACUUGUGACCUUGCGCUAAUAGAUGAGCCUAAGUCGGAUUAGCUAGUUGGUGGGGUAAAGGCCUACCAAGGCGACGAUCUGUAGCGGGUCUGAGAGGAUGAUCCGGCACACUGGGACUGAGACACGGCCCAGACUCCUAAGGGAGGGAGCAGUGGGGAAUAUUGGACAAUGGGGGGAACCCUGAUCCAGCCAUGCCGCGUGUGUGAAGAAGGCCUUAUGGUUGUAAAGCACUUUAAGCGAGGAGGAGGCUCUUUUGGUUAAUACCCAAGAUGAGUGGACGUUACUCGCAGAAUAAGCACCGGCUAACUCUGUGCCAGCAGCCGCCGUAA
rnacentral:rRNA from 1 species